GAUGAACGCUGGCGGCGUGCUUAACACAUGCAAGUCGAACGGAAAGGCCAGUGCUUGCACUGGUACUCGAGUGGCGAACGGGUGAGUAACACGUGGGUGAUCUGCCCUGCACUUCGGGAUAAGCCUGGGAAACUGGGUCUAAUACCGGAUAGGACAAUGGUUUGGAUGCCGUUGUGGAAAGUUUUUUCGGUGUGGGAUGGGUUCGCGGCCUAUCAGCUUGUUGGUGAGGUAAUGGCCUACCAAGGCGUCGACGGGUAGCCGGCCUGAGAGGGUGUACGGCAACAAGGGAACUGAGACACGGACCUUAGUCCUACGGGAGGCAGCAGGGGGGAAUAUUGGACAAGGGACCAAAAGUCUGAUCCAGCAAUUCUGGGUGCACGAUGACGUUUUUCGGAAUGUAAAGUGCUUUCAGUUGGGAAGAAAAAAAUGACGGUACCAACAGAAGAAGUGACGGCUAAAUACGUG
rnacentral:rRNA from 1 species